rnacentral:lncRNA from 1 species
AUCCCAUCGACAGUCUCUCAGAGCAUACAUCUGGUUUCUCUCCUCAAGUGAACGUGGAGAGGGACUUAAACCCAUCUUGAUACUGGAAACCCAAAACUCCAGAAAUCAAAGGGAAAUGUUAGAUUUUCAAUCCAUUUGGAGACUCUCCUUAGGCUAUUCUGACAGCAGUUAGCACCCAGGUGACUAUUCUGUGACAAUCAGAUAUGCUAUAAAGCAAUUUAAGGUAGAUUAAAAAUAUGCUUACAGAAACAAGCCCAUCUAUUUUUAUAUUGUACUUUACCCAAAUGAAAAAUGGUCAUGCUCCCCAAACUUCAGAUAUCUGGGCCAUGUCCUGUCUGUACAACUUAUGGUUGGUUCUCCUCUCCCACCUUUCCGUGGUUUCCUGGUAUCAAACUCAGAUCAUCAGGUUUAUACAGCCAGCAUCUUUUCCCACUGAGUCAUCUCAUUAGACCACCUCUGGAUUACAUUUAUCUCCAGAUGCUCCUGGCCCCCACAAAAGAGGACUCCAGCAGCUUCCACAAGCCUGCUUGCAGAGCUACUGAGAGAGGAGCCUCUGGACCAGGUCUAAAGAGUGGACUUUAGCUUGGAAGGUGGCAGAGCAACUUCAUGAGCAUGGGUGUGUGGCUAUGGAACAGUGACGAAGAAAACAGAACUGUGCUCCUCAAAACAAUUGGGCAUCUGAAAUGGCCGAGCAGUGUGCCUGGAGGCUCUGCGUUUCAACACGUUCGUUCUUUGAUGGUACCGCCAAUUCUGCUUAUCUGGGUGCAGCUUUGUCCCACUGAACUUCCUCUUGGAGGAGGGGGCAAGUAGGCACGAAAUCAAAUGCAGGGAAACAUGCUGGGUGUAGCAAGCUCAGGUUAUUUUAGGAAGGGGGAAGCUUUAUAUAGCCCCACUCGCCCAGGAGACCCGGAAGCUGCAGCUCUGGCAUCAGGGGCUUUUCGUGGCAGCUGGAG